AGAUGGAGAUGGAAAUGGAGAUGAAGAUGAUGGAGACAAAGAUGGAGGUGGAGGAGGAUGUUAAGGGAAACAGCAUCAAAAGCCUUGGUGAAGUCAAGUUGGACAACAGCUACUGAUCUCCCUUCACCUACCCAUUCAGUCAUCCCAUCAUAAAAGGCUAUCAGAUGACUUAAACAUGAUUUUCCCAUGGUAAAUCCAUGCUGGCUGCUCCUGAUAACUUUCUUUUCUACCAUGUGCUGAGGGAUGACCUCCAGAGUGAGCUGCUCCAUCACUAUUCCAGGGAUGGAAGUGAAGCUGCCUGGUCUGCAAUUUCCUGCCUUUGAAGACUGGAGUGGCACUGGCUUUCCUCCACUCCUCAGGCACCUAUCCCAUUUCCCAUGAUCUUUCAAAGUUGAUGGGCAGUGGUAGAGCAACAACAUCAGCUAGCUGAGCACAUGCAUCCCGUUGGGGCCCAUGGAUUUGUGCAUGUUCAGUUUGCCCAAAUGAUCUCUAACCCAGACCUUGCUGACCAGUGGAGAAUCUUCCUUCCACCAGGCUCUUACCUUCAGGGUUUGGGGUUCCUGAGAGAUGGAUGUAACAGUAAAGGCUGAAGCAAAGCUGGCAUGCAACUGAUCCAGUGAGAACUUUUGGAAGACCUUAACCCAGAAGAUAGGAACAAAACCUACAGAGCACACAAGUCCCAGAAGCAGUAGAUUUUCACAUAUAAAGCCUAGGGAUGAAGUCUGUCUUUCGUGCUGGGGAAUUUUGUGCCAGCUUGUUGAAUCUGAGAGCAGGGAGCACAUCUUUUUUAAUUAAAUUCUUUUUUUUUUUUUUUUGGGUUAAAUUCCACUCAUGCCAAACAAAAACAAUCCAUGAAAAACAAAAGGACAAUGCUUUGUAUUAAAUCCUGGAGUUACUGCGGGGAGGGGAAACGAGGAACCAUUUAUCAGGAGAUUUAUAACCAAAGCAAAGGGAUCAAAGUUAAGUGAAAGCCUUGAGAAAUAUUUCUGUCUGAGGCAGAAAAAUCUUUUUCUGCUUAGCUAGCAUCAGUGUAAGCCUGUGCAGGGAAUGAAACUCCAUUCAUCA